rnacentral:rRNA from 1 species
GAUGAACGCUGGCGGCGUGCCUAAUACAUGCAAGUCGAGCGAACAGACGAGGAGCUUGCUCCUCUGACGUUAGCGGCGGACGGGUGAGUAACACGUGGAUAACCUACCUAUAAGACUGGGAUAACUUCGGGAAACCGGAGCUAAUACCGGAUAAUAUAUUGAACCGCAUGGUUCAAUAGUGAAAGACGGUUUUGCUGUCACUUAUAGAUGGAUCCGCGCCGCAUUAGCUAGUUGGUAAGGUAACGGCUUACCAAGGCAACGAUGCGUAGCCGACCUGAGAGGGUGAUCGGCCACACUGGAACUGAGACACGGUCCAGACUCCUACGGGAGGCAGCAGUAGGGAAUCUGCCGCAAUGGGCGAAAGCCUGACGGAGCAACGCCGCGUGAGUGAUGAAGGUCUUCGGAUCGUAAAACUCUGUUAUUAGGGAAGAACAAAUGUGUAAGUAACUAUGCACGUCUGGACGGUACCUAAGCAGAAAGCCACGGCUAACUACG